rnacentral:rRNA from 1 species
UACGUAGGGGGCAAGCGUUGUCCGGAAUUAUUGGGCGUAAAGGGUGCGUAGGCGGGUCUUUAAGUCAGGGGUGAAAUCCUGGAGCUCAACUCCAGAACUGCCUUUGAUACUGAAGAUCUUGAGUUCGGGAGAGGUGAGUGGAACUGCGAGUGUAGAGGUGAAAUUCGUAGAUAUCAGGAGGAACACCAAUUGCGAAGGCAGCUCGCUGGGACGUUACUGACGCUGAGACGCGAAAGCGUGGGGAGCAAACAGG